rnacentral:tRNA from 1 species
GCCCCGGUAGCUCAAUCUUUGGAUAGAGCACCCCAAUGACGACGGGAAGGUUACAGGUUCGAAUCCUGUCCGGGGCA